rnacentral:lncRNA from 1 species
GCAAGUUUCAUCUCAUGUGCACUUUUAGUUACCAGGCAGAGCAGCUUCACAAGAAGUGGUACAUUUGAAAAGUCUUGCCCGGAGAAGAAAUAGAUGGACAUAACUGUAGCUUUUAUUAAACUCAGUAUUUAGGCUUUUGCGAAAUAGGAUAAGAGAAGUUAGAUGAGUGUUAAUCCCAGUGAACAGUGAAUAGGGCUAAAAGGUAAAAAUGUUUAAGAUUUUGAAAGCUUAGCAUUUUUAAAUGCCUAUAUUUGUGUUUAAAAAAGAUUGUUUUUAGAAAAGAUUUAUGUUUGUUUUCCAGGUUUUCAUACUACAAAACUCUAAAUUGUUAAGUAUGUUUUGAAGUUCCUAGUUAUAUUUUGUGCUUCAGUAACUCCCAAUAACACAUCUUAGUCUCAACUAAUGAAAACCUGCCUGAAAAACAAACAAACAAACAAAAAAAAAACAAACCCACAAAACAGCAAAUAAAUAUGUUUACAUAGAUCCCAAAUUUGGCCCUCAGACACACCAGUGUAUGUGCAUAUAAAUGUUUUGUUCCUGAAAUCACUCUAGGUUCACAACACUUACACGGGACUGGAAUCUAACACAGUACUUCUCUCAUCUGACCCAAGCGUUGUCCUGAAUUCUGCUUUAGUGUAUGCAGGGGGGCAACGAUUGGCUCCGAAUGACAACCUUAAAUGUCCAAUUGCCAACUACUGUAAUUUGCUGUAAGCAUUCAAGUCAGAAAUUCUUCAGUCUUCUUUAGGAAGCAAAUUAUUCUGUAAUUCAUUAGAUCACCAAAUCAGCAGGUGCUGAGAGGAAGCUAGCAUGUCUUUGUGGAUAAAUUGCUGGAGAGAAUCAUGAUACAUACAAUUAAGAGAGAAGAGAAACAAAAUUGGCAGCACCAUGGGAAACCCAACACUUGGAUGAACAGCAGUGCAUAUGGUGAAUAUGGGGGAAGAAUUCUGAAGCUGUAAUUCAGGUAAGUGAGAGCUGAGAGGGUGGUUGUUUUUUUUUUUUUUUUUUCUUUUUUUUCCUCUCUUUUCCCCCCCCCCCCCCCCCUUUUUUUCUUUUUCUUUUUUUUUUUUUUUUUUCAGCCAAUGGUUUUAUAGUACAUAUCAUCAAGUGCAUAUUAAGCAGAGUUUCUGGACUAAUGCUUUCCAGCCUUGACUCUCAGACUUGGUAACUGUUCCAAAUAGUACUUUAAAAUGUCUUAGCUGUAUAAAUACAAGACCUCAAUGUUACCCUUGUUGACAAAACCAAAAACAAGUUAUAUUAAAAAAAAAAAAAAGUUAAUAUAUAUUUUUAAGUAAUUCUGAAUAUGUACUGGCCAAGGGAAAAAUUAUGUCUAUCGCAUAAAAAGGACUUGAUAUUCUUAAUGGUAUUUUUAAAUUGACUUCCAAUUUGGUAUUAGUCAUGGGUGCAAAAAAAGGCCUCAGGUAAUGACCAUAUAUGUUCAGGUCUAAGGGGUGGAUGUACAGAAGAAAAUCAAGUUAAUCAAGGCAGCAACUUGUUCUGGGCUUGCUGACUUGGGUUAGGGCUCCCUUAAUGUGUCAGAUGAGCUGACCUUAUACAAAGCACUGGGAAAGUUAGGUGUUGCAGGCAGAACAAAGGAGCUGUUUUAUCAUAUAAAGCAAUUGAAAUAAGAUUCAUUCCAUGGUCUGU